GAGAGAGAAAAACCCUAGAGAGAGAGAGAGGAAAAUGAAGAAGAAUGGUGCUCUGAGCCUCAGCAACCUCCACUGAGCUCCAGAAGUCGUGCUGGCUUCAUAUGGAUGAGAUCAAGAUGUGAAAAGACCAAAAUACCCGAGCUGCCACGUUUCUGCAUUGUGUACCGGUACACCAUAAUGGCUGUACCGGUACACCAAGCAGAAAAUGUUGAUUUUCGCCUGCUCAAUGCACUUUCUUGUUUCCGACAUUCCGAUCACUCUCAAACUUAUGUGUAAACAUCUUUAAACCCUUUUGAACAUGUGGGAGGGUUCCAAAUAUCAUUCCUCACACUCGAAUUUCGCAAUUUGCAAAAAUUCAGUGUAUUACACGGGUACUUGUUCUUUAUCGUCACUUUAUUCAACUCGCGAUAAUCUACGCAGAGCAUAGUUAGUUAAUUCGGAUUCGGCAAAAAUUCGGUACGGAUAUAAUUCGGAUAAAAUUCGUCUUCUAAAUUUUAAAUUCAUUUAAAAAUACGGUUAAAAAACGGAUUCGGUAAUUGUUCGGAUACGUGAUUUAUACGGAUAAUAUACGUUCACCAAUUAAAAAUUCAGGAUUAAAAAUUCGGCUAUUAAAUUAAAUUUUUUUCUCUCAAAAUUUAUGUUAUUAGU
rnacentral:lncRNA from 1 species